rnacentral:rRNA from 1 species
GAUGAACGCUGGCGGCGUGGAUAAGGCAUGCAAGUCAAACGGUGUAGCAAUACACAGUGGCGAACGAGGUAGUAAUACGCAGGUACACACCCCAAAGUCAGGGAUAACUAGUCGAAAGAUUAGAUAAAACUUGAUAAUCUCUUCGGAGCAAAAAUUUAUUGCUUUGGGAGUGGCCUGUGGGAUAUCAGCUAGUUGGUAGGGUAACGGCCUACCAAGGCUAUGACGUCUAGGGGAGCUGAGAGGCUGACCCCCACCGAUGGUACUGAGAAACGGACCAUACACCUACGGGUGGCCGCAGUCGAGAAUCUUCCGCAAUGGGCGAAAGCCUGACGGAGCGACGCCGCGUGAUGGAUGAAGACCCUCUGGGUCGUAAACAUCUUUUGUGAGGGAGAAAGUUUAUUGAUAGUACCUCAAGAAUAAGGGGUUG